GCUGGAAUAGCUCAAUUGGUAGAGCAACCAUUUUGUAAGCGGUAGGUUGUUAGUUCGAUUCUAAUUUCCAGCA
rnacentral:tRNA from 1 species